CACAGGGCGGCGUGGCAGGAAUUCACAGGGCGGCGUGGCAGGAAUUCACAGGGCGGCGUGGCAGGAAUUCACAGGGCGGCGUGGCAGGAAUUCACAGGGCGCUUGGCAGGAAUU